CUCACUGCUAAGCUAUGCCUCGCUGCUAAGCUAUCCCUCACUGCUAAGCUAUCCCUCACUGCUAAGCUAUUCCUCACUGCUAAGCUAUUCCUCACUGCUAAGCUAUCCCUUGCUGCUAAGCUAUCUCUUGCUGCUAAACUAUCUCUCACUGCUAAGCUAUCUCUUGCUGCUAAGCUAUCCCUUGCUGCUAAUCUAUCCCUUGCUGCUAAGCUAUCCCUCACUGCUAAGCUAUCCCUCACUGCUAAGCUAUCCCUCGCUGCUAAGCUAUCUCUUGCUGCUAAACUAUCUCUUGCUGCUAAGCUAUCCCUUGCUGCUAAUCUAUCCCUUGCUGCUAAGCUAUCCCUCACUGCUAAGCUAUCCCUCACUGCUAAGCUAUCCCUUGCUGCUAAGCUAUCCCUCGCUGCUAAUCUAUCUAUCACUGCUGUCAAUUUAUCUACCACUGUCAAUCUAUC
rnacentral:sRNA from 1 species